rnacentral:misc_RNA from 1 species
UUUCCGUAGGUGAACCUGCGGAAGGAUCAUUCAUAAUAAAGUGUUUUAUGGCACUUUUUAAAAAACCAUAUCCACCUUGUGUGCAAUGUUAGAUCUCGUCAAUCUUGGCGAGAUUUUUAUACAUCAACUCAUUUUUUAACUAAUUUGUCUGAAAAAUAUUAUGAAUACUUAAUUCAAAAUACAACUUUCAACAACGGAUCUCUUGGCUCUC